rnacentral:rRNA from 1 species
GCGGCGUGCUUAACACAUGCAAGUCGUACGAGAACUCUUUAGCUUGCUAAAGAUAGUAAAGUGGCGCACGGGUGAGUAACGCGUGGGUAAUCUACCUCUGAAUUUGGGAUAACUCCGCGAAAGCGGUGCUAAUACCGGAUAAUAUUUCAGAAUCUUCGGGUUUUGAAAUCAAAAGUGGUCUCUACAUGUAAGCUACUGUUUGGAGAUGAGCCCGCGUACCAUUAGCUUGUUGGUAGGGUAAUGGCCUACCAAGGCUACGAUGGUUAGCUGGUCUGAGAGGAUGAUCAGCCACACUGGAACUGACACACGGUCCAGACUCCUACGGGAGGCAGCAGUGGGGAAUUUUGCGCAAUGGGGGAAACCCUGACGCAGCAACGCCGCGUGAGUGAUGAAGGCUUUCGGGUCGUAAAGCUCUGUCAAGUGGGAAGAACAUGGAAAAUGUUAAUAUCAUUUUUUACUGACGGUACCACUAAAGGAAGCACCGGCUAACUCCGUGCCAGCAGCCGCGGUAAUACGGGGGGUGCAAGCGUUAUUCGGAAUUAUUGGGCGUAAAGGGCGCGUAGGCGGUCUUUUAAGUCAGAUGUGAAAGCCCGGGGCUUAACCCCGGAAGUGCAUUUGAAACUGAAGGACUUGAGUAUGGGAGAGGGAAGUGGAAUUCCUGGUGUAGAGGUGAAAUUCGUAGAUAUCAGGAGGAACACCGGUGGCGAAGGCGACUUCCUGGACCAAUACUGACGCUGAGGCGCGAAGGCGUGGGGAGCAAACAGGAUUAGAUACCCUGGUAGUCCACGCAGUAAACGAUGAACACUAGGUAUAGCGGGUAUUGACCCCUGCUGUGCCGCAGUUAACGCAUUAAGUGUUCCGCCUGGGGAGUACGACCGCA